AUAAUNGUCGGGAGUUAACGCUAAUAUCUCGUGGUGUUAUAUCCUCUCUUAAAAAGUUAGAGGAGUUGUAUAUUAAUAGAUUUACGGGAUGGGAAUCUGAAAGUGAAAAUUUGAGAAGCAAUGCCAAUCUUGUUGAGUUACAAGCCUUGUCUCAAUUGACUCAUUUAGAUAUUAAUAUUCCAAACCUUGACCUCUCACCAAAAUUGUUGGUAUUCCAAAAUAACCUAUCCAACUUUAAAUUAAGAAUUGGUUAUUGUGAAUAUUUUGAUGCUUAUAUGGAUGGGAGUAGAUCAAGAAAUAUGCAUGUCUCACAAACUAACAUUUCAAAAAUACAAGACUGGGUUAAACGUUUGCUCAAAAGAAUUGAGUGGCUAUUUUUAGAUAGAAUUACUAAUUUGGAGAGUAUUAGCCAUAUCCUAGUUGAAGAAGGGUUCAAUGAAUUGAAGUAUCUUAAUAUCACAUCUUGUGAAUCAUUGGUGUAUAUAUUUGAUUGUAAAGAUAUUAAGAUUGCAGAGGGAGAAGCCAAGUUACUAUCAUCAUUAGAGCAUCUACAAUUGAAAGCAUUGCCUAAGUUGUCACAUAUAUGGAAGGGAGACCAUCAAUCCAUAAGCCUUUGUAACUUGAAGAGAGUAGGAGUUUAUAUAUGCUACAAGUUAAUAAAACUAUUUUCACCAAGUCUACUAAAAAGCCUUAUUUGUUUGGAAGAAAUAUAUAUAACGGAAUGCAAUAAUUUAGAGGAGAUCUUUGAGAAGAAAGAAGCUUUGGAUGAGGAGUUAGACCACACCAUAACCUCCCCAAGUUUGGGAAACCUGACUACUAUAACAAUAGAUAGUUGUGAUAAAUUAAAAAACCUCUUCACCCCUUCCAUUGUCAAAUGCCUGGUGAAGCUCAAGUCUUUUGUACUAUGGAGCUGUUCAACAAUAGAAGAAAUAGUCACAAAUGAGAAAGGAGAAAAAAAAGCAUCAAUAGAGAGGAUAGUGUUUCCUAGUUUGUACAGUUUGGAACUUGAAUAUCUAAACAGCCUUACUUGUUUUAGCUCUGGAUCAUAUAUUAUUGAAUUCCCAGAAUUGGAGAUCCUAAAGAUAUGGAGAUGUGGAAAAAUGAAGACCUUUGGUUAUGGAAAGCAAGUGACACCCAAGCUUAAUAAAGUGAUUAUGGGAUCCUUUGUAAUGGAAGAACGUUGGAAUGGCAACUUGAAUGCCACAGUGCAAAAGCACUUCAAUGAACCGGUGAAUCAAGCAAGGAGAUCAGCUUAAAGUAGAAUGGAAUUGAAAUUACAGUCUAAACAAGAAUUACUCUCCACCUCACUUGCCGCCGCUCUAUCACCUCCUCCACGCGACACUACCACCACCAGAACCGUCAGAGUCGCCUUACUUCAAGCACUCGCCGGUGAGUUCUCGUUUCUUCCACUUCGGUUCAGUAGACGACGACUCGCUCACUGGCUCCGUGCCGAUCCCGGUGGAGAUUGUUAACUUCUGUGACGGAGUGAUUGGCAGUGGUGAAGAGUCGAUUCUUCCUGUUCAAACUCUGAUUUCGUUGCUGGAUGCUUAUCAUAAUCUCUCUGGCUUCCCUUGGUGGGUAAUUAUUACUGCUUUGACUUCGGCAUUCAGACUUGCGUUGCUUCCUAUUGUUGUUUUGCAGCUUCGUAAGCUGCGGAAGAUAGGAGAGUUAUAUCUCCUAAAUUCAGGAAGGAGUUUCAUUGAUCAAGAUUUCACGUUCGGAGGGAAAGAAAAGCAAUCGGGCCCUUAUUUCUGUGGUUGCUUGCCUCCUUGUC